rnacentral:lncRNA from 1 species
AUCAUCUGGGCGUGUAUGGAGUCUGUAUCUAUGUCAAGACCUGGGCUUUGCUCCACUUGGAGUCAGCUGAUUGGUGGGAGGGCAUCUGAAAUUGAGAUGAGGCUUCAGGACUUCUACCCAGCCCUUUAGUGGGGAUCUGUCCGGGACUUUGCAGUCUGAAUCUGCAACUGUAAAAGUCGAAAAUCAGGAUUCAUACCAUGAGGGAAGACGCCAGCUGCUAGCUGUACCAAAGGACAGAAUGGAAAAAAGGCUCUUCACAGGCCAGAGAGCCAAACUCAGGCAAAAAGCAAUGAAGAAGAAUUAGGACUUUUAAAUGUCCUACAUCCAAGCUGUUUUAGCAGCUCCAACCACCACAGCUAGAAGGCAACUGGCCUCUGCUCCACCCCACCAGCUCCCACUGUGGUACCGCCAUACGGGCCCUUAGUGCUGGCCUCUGCGUUGGCCCGGAUUGCCUUGAUGCUACCAAGUGAGGCAUCAGACCAAUAAGAGGGAGCUACUCUGCCGCCUCAGUAUAAUGAGAGAACAGAGAUGGCCUCUCCCUCCAGUGCUUGACAGGGUACAGGAUUUAGCAAGGAAGUGCCAUGGCAGGAGCAAGGGAAUUCCCAUUUACAAGGAUGGCCAUGGGUGGCUUGGAUGCCAGUGGGCAACCUGUCAGACAUUACUGGACAUCCAGCCCAUUUUCAACAUCUAACUUGUGAAAUGGAAAAACUCCACCCCACUUUAUAGAAUGGAUCCCCAGAAAAUGACUGAUCUCUAUGUGUCUAACUGUGCCACCCACCAGUGUACCUGAGCAGAUGUGUAGUCUCUCCUAAAUAUGCUUCUGGCUGCAGACCAAAGAAGAUCCAGAGUCUUGGUGCCUCCAUGAAACAAAUCCAAAUACCCCAAACCUGAAGGGACCAUUCUGGAUGCAAACUCUAAUUGGGGCUCCAAUUGAUAAGGGGACAUGGCCCAUCUGGAAUAUUCACAAACAUUCUUCCUGUUUGGACUCAGGAAAGGGGUACCAAAACAGGAAGCCUCACUAGGAAUGACCCCUUCCCCGCUCGAGAGGCAAAGAAACAGAAGUUUCAACCAUAAAUGUGGAAUGAACAAGGAAGCCUCUGCAUCAGAAAAAUCGAGGUUAGCCUCAGGAACACAGCCAGUGUGCCUAGUGUAAGAAGAAAGGCCACUGAAAGGAUGACUGUCCCAAAAGUAAGGACCAAGAGGCCAGAAAAAGGAGGAAUAUGAUAAGGAAAAAGCCCACAGUCAAAUAAUGGAGCAGGGUCACUGCUCUGACCAUGGACAGGGAUGCCUGGGGGCUCUCCUUAAUCCCUCAGAGACAAUUAAAAUUUCCCCACAGGAACCCUGGGUACAACUGACAGUGAGGAAAAAAUUAAAUGAUUUCCUGGUUGAUACUGGGCUAACUAUUCAGUUCUUAACACUUUACAAGCAAAAAGCACCAAAAUAAGUGUACCUGUGAUAGGAGUUACAAGAAUAAUGCAACAAAAGGCUUUCCUACAACCUUUAGAAUGCAAACUAGAAAGUUUGGACCUAAGGCAUUGCUAUUUCUAUAUGCCAGAAUGCCCAAUUCCCUUGCUGGGAAAAGAACUAUUACGCAAAUUAAAUACUCAAGUAAUUUCUCCCCAGAGAAACAACUACGGCUGCAGGUCCUGCUAGAGCAAGCACUGCAACUAACAUGUUAUUCAGUUGCCUUAAGAAGAAACAAGAAUUCUCCCUCAGAAGUCUAUGAGAGAGUGCGUAAUUGUGAAUAGGCAGAUGGAAUCCUAGAAAAACAGGAAAUACACAGUGAGUGCAGAUAGAAAAAAUAGAAGGGGUUACUGUGCCCUGGGUGGCGGGGGGGAGGCGAAUAAAAAAAUCAGUAUACAUUAAUAAAGGAAGCCUUAGAAGGAAUAUAGCCUGUCUUUCAAAA